UUAGAAAUUUAGUUGAUAAAUACUGUUUGUGUUUGCUUUGUGCUUGCUUAUAUGAGAUAUUAUUAAAAAAUCUUAGAGUUGAAAUUAAUUCGAAAGUAGAGAAAAAUCAGUGUCAACUGGAGGAGUCUUUUAGAACAGAAGAAUAAAAAGGCAAAUGUUAUUGAAUGGGCUCUUAAAGCUUCCACAUUUUCUAUCCUGCUCUUUACAUUUUACUGUUUAGGUUAGCUUUCAUAUUCUAUAAAAAAAAAUAUAGAAACAAAUGUGGAACUGUGAAGUGUACAUUUGAGAACUGUUAUAGGACUGGACUUUUUGGUGUUUUCAAAUAUGAAUAUACAAUGCCUUAUAUUAUGGUAUAAGCGUGUUUUCAGAUUUUUCCCCAUUCUACUUCUCAGAUAAUCUCCCCCCUCCUUUCCACUGCCAUUUUCUUCUCCUCUCUUCAAAUGCUUUGAUUUUACCCACAAUAUGAACGUAUUUAACCAAAGUUUCAUUAUUUCUAUUGUUUGUACUUGUAUAGUAAUAUGUGGUUGUGACAUUGCUUUCUUUUUUUUUCCUGUUUCUUUUGUAUUACUCUAUUUUACAGCAAGCUAAUUUUAAAGGUGUCAAGUGUAUUUUGAUGUAUUUUGAUUUUGGGGAAGAAUUCAGAUGACAAAAGCAUCAAGAAGUCGAUCGUCGGUCUGGAAAGUUAGUGAUAAACAUCCAGAUGGUCGUAUCAGGUACGAUUUUCUCAAAUAAUUCUCGGAUUUUUGUUUUUCGCUCAUUAACUUGUUUAAUUUGUUACUGAAUUCUACCUUCCAAUUCUACCAAUAAUAUUCAACCAGGUAUUUAUUUGGAUUAAAUUUGCUGAGAUAAAAUUUCUAUGGCUGGGCUGGGAUGCAGGGGGAGGAAUUCAUUAGGUUGUUAUUAGCAAAUACCACUAUUUGUUGGGCUAGGAUGCAUAUUGGUGCUUAAAAACUCUUUCUUCACUCAACAAAUUUUAUCAAUGCUUUUAACUCAUUCCUCCAUUUGUUCAUGGAAUUAUGUAAUGAUGAUUUGAUGUAAAUCCUUACUAAUUAAGAAUCUUGGCUACAAUCUUCUUGGCUUGACAUUCAGCUAAGUUAAAGUUAAUUGUGAAAUCUUCAUUUCUUUCAUUUAGAGUUCUCUUGGCAUAUCGUUAGUUUAGUUGAUAUGUUUGUUUGCUACCAUUCAUUAUUGUAGUUUUUCACCAUUCUUCACUUGUGGAUUGUUUGGUAGGAAGUUUUGUGAGAUAAUUCUUUGUGGAAUGACUAGGUGAUUGUUAGGACAGUUCUUAUGCAAUUUUUGUAUGCAUAAGCAACCUUUUUCUCCCCUUCCCCCAUGAUUCUUUUCAAUUCUGAAAACCUCGGGUAGCUUCUAUGUUUUCUUUCCUCUUCCCGUGAUUACUCUUUUAUGUUUUCUUUCAUCAUCGUCCCAUGUUUACUCUUCUAUGUUUUCUUUCCUCUUUCCAUGUAUACUCUUGUGUCUUCUCGUGACUAUAUUUCUAUAUCUAUACCUUUUGUUCUUCUUUUAUCACAACUUUUUGGUGAACUUUUCACCUUCCUUGAAAACACAUUUGAAUCCUAAGUCAUAUUUAAAAAAAAAAAAUGAAGCGAGUUUUACUCUCUUGUCCUAUAAUGGAUGCUUAUAUUCAUGUUGUCUUUGUAGGUUCAACUGGAAUCGACAACUUCAUGAGUUUACUUUCAAAGAACACUUUCAGAGACGAACAUUCUCGGUUGGUCGUUUAUGUUUUAGCAGAAAAUCUUGUUAUAUGUAUUCUGAUGCAAUUUAAAAUAUUUUUUGAU